GCACUCAGAAAUAUUAGACACCGAAAUUAGUUAAGAUUUUAACAUGUUCUAGUACAGAUUACAAAGGCCAAGAAUUUAAAGCUUUAGUUUUUGAUUACAUGAAAAAUGGAAGCUUAGAACAAUGGUUGCAUCCUGAGAUUUUAAAUGCAGAGGCGCAGAGCCUCCAACAACAUUGGACCUCGGUCAAAGAUUAAACAUCAUUAUCGAUGUUGCUUCUGCAUUACAUUAUCUUCAUCAUGAAUGUGAGCAGUUGGUCAUUCACUGUGAUCUAAAGCCAAGCGAUGUCCUUCUUGAUAAUGACAUGGUUGCACAUGUGAAUGAUUUUGGCAUAUGAAAACUCAUCUUCACCAUUGGCGGUACCUCCCAUACAGAUACCAGUACAAUUGGAAUAAAGGGAACUGUUGGCUAUGCUCCCCCGGGUAUGUUCUAAAUUCUUGAAUAUUACUUUGNNNNNNNNNNNNNNNNNNNNNNNNNNNNNNNNNNNNNNNNNNNNNNNNNNNNNNNNNUCCUACAUAUGUUAGAGUAUGGAAUGGGUUCUGAAGUGUCCACAUGUGGUGACAUGUAUAGCUUUGGAAUCCUUGUGUUGGAAAUGCUUACUGGUAGAAGACCAACCGACGAAACUUUGGAAGAUGGUCAAAAUCUGCAUAACUUUGUUUGGAUUUCAUUUCCUGAUAAUCUUAUAAAGAUUUUAGACCCACAUAUUUUAUGAAGAGAUGCUGGAGUUUCAAUACAAGAUGGAAACAGUGAGAAUCUUAUUCCAAGGGUAGAGCAGUGCUUAGUUUCACUUUUUAAGAUUGGACUUGUUUGUUCGAUGGAGUCACCAAAAGAAAGAAUGAAUAUUGUGGAAGUCAAUAGAGAACUAAUCAUAAUCAAAAGGCCUUUCUUGCUGGUGAGAUAAACUGAUAUUUAUAUAUGCUUAUUUGAAUGAUAACAAACUCAUUAAUUGCUUAUGGAUUAUUAUUUGAUUUUAAUAAUCUUAUUGAGCAUUUCAAGUUCCUAAACAGCAAAAUACAAUGGUAAUAAUGUGCUUCUUCUUGAUUGAAAUUCCAGGUGUUCGCGCUCAUAAUUAGUAAUCAAAGCUGAACUAAAUUUCUACAGUCGUUUGUGGAAAGAGAACUGUAUUCAACUUGAUGCCAUGUUGUUAAGAAACUGAAUGGUUCUUCUGUAAGCACAUGUGACAAUUUCUAGUUAUUCAAUGACUUCGGUUUGGAACAUUUGGUUCUGUAUGAUUUGUCUGCAAUCUACUAGUUGCUAUAAAUAAGUAAUUAAUGUUGUAUUGCUUUCUGUUUCAAUGAAAUGAGAAUUGAUACUUCUCCAAUAUUUAUCUUCAAUUUCAUUUCUUUGUCAAGUAUUUUCUUUCAUUUCUUUGUAGUUAAAACUGUGGGUGCAAAAAUUGUAGAUCAUGCAUAUAUACAAAUUCAGAAUACCAAGUUGAUAAAAUGAAUACCUCUCCAUGAAAUUUGUAUUUAACACACUUGGAUACAGCAGAGGAUGUUCAUCUUUUAAUUUUCUGUUUUCUGAUUUGAUGGAGCAAUAACAGAUCAAUGAUGAUCAACCAAAAUCAUCAAUAUUAUUUCAUGAAAUUGAAAAGACGUUAUUUAUUUGAAGACAUACCUAAAAAGUUGUCUUGUUUCAACCGUUAUAUACAAAUUUCCUUAUUUACAUGAUUCGGAUUCAACACUCCUACCAUAAAAUUAAAUGUUAAGAAGUUUCACAUCGGAUGUGAGUUGGCCUGAACGUGGGUUUAUAAGUAAGAGACAAUUCUCACCUUACAAGCUGAUUUUGUAGAAUCGAGUUAGGCUCAACUCUCAAUUAUAAGACUAUUAGUGUGUCUUUUGUCUCUUGAAUUUUUAUGAGUGUAGUCCAACUCCUGUUAGUUUUUUCUGUUAAGAGCUUAUAUCGCUAGGGUAGCUACCCCAAACUAGCUACCCCAAUUAAUCUCUUGUAGUUCUUGUCGCGGCGCGAAAAAUAUCCUCGAGUGUAAACACUCGAAAAGAAACAGAGUCGCCACCGAAUUUUAUUUAGCCCAAAGAAGGGAAAGGAAAAUAUCGAGAAAACCUUAAGUGGUGAGAAAAAUGGGUUCGGGAGUUGGUUAUGCGAGGGGAAGGUAUUAGCACCCCUCACAUCCAUUGUACUCAACGGGAACCUUUUAGAGGGAAAUGUUUGUUUGCUUUAAUGUGUUUUUUAAUGUUUGCUUGAUUACUUGUUUCUUGCUUCAUCAAUAGAGAAGAUUUAUUUUUUAUUAUUAUUUAUGUUAUUAUGGAUGCGGGGAAAAAUGUUUGUUUUUUAUUAUUGUGCCCGACAAGAUGUUGAAUCCUGCUCCUACGUAUUCCCAGGUGCAAUGGGAAAAUCAGGGUUUCGUAGUUCAGGGUAAAAAAUGUUUGUGGGUUGGUUGUUUUUAGACGCAUGACGUCUAAGUCGCAUUCUCGUAUUUAAACGCUGCUUGUAUGCUCGCACUUUGGAGGCUUAAGCGCGGUUUGUAUUACGGAGAAAGGACGAAGUCACCCGUUUUAUGAAAAGAGUUUUACUUUUACUACGCGCGUGGGCAGUGAAAAGGUUUGAGUGUGUUGAGUUGAUUUUAGGAGUUUUAAUGAAAACGUCCGAGAAUGAGGAUAAUCCGAGUCACGAGCCAUACGUCAGGGCCUCGAAUUAUCCGGGGAAGAAAGCCAUACGUCAGACUNUUAAGUUCUUUUAUUUGAUUUAAGAAAAUCAAAAAGAAAGAUAAAGCAGAUGAUGAAGUGUUUUAAUGUUUUUUAGCGUUGGGGAAUGAGAAUGAUUCAAGUCACGAGCCAUACGUCAGGGUCUCGAAUCAUUCGGGGAGAGAAAGUCAUACGUCAGACUAACCCUUUUUCAUUCCAUUUAUUUUAAUUGUGAGGUUUUUUCAAGUAAAGAAGUGUUUUUGAGAAACAAACUUGAGAUAAAAGUAUUAAAUCAAGUAAAUAAUCCAAGCAUGAACUUAUUUGAAUAAGCACUUAUAUAAAUAAGCACUUAAAAGUAAAUAAAACGCUUCUGGGGUGCAAAACUGAUAUUGGGGGUGCGAAAAUGAAAUCUGGGGACUGGGCUUAACAAGUCAAGGCCCAACAUUAAAGUCAAGAAGGAGGUAAUCCAGUGUGUCAUGAAAGCAGAGGCACACAGUAGACGUCAUGGAUCUGAGCCUUUGAUUAAAUCAGACAGCUGUGGUUUAAAACUCACAUAGCAGAUCUCGGUCCUUGGAUUAAUCUAACGGAGGCGUUUUAAAAUGGAGGGAGCCAAUGACCUGUCGCCACGUCAUCGUCUUCAACCUCCUUCACCUUCUUUACUUGAAAAACAACAAAAGGGAAGCCAUGAAAAAGCUUUGAAGCUCACGGCCAACAACAACAACUUGGCCAAAACUUCAUCAAAAAUUACAAACUUAUAUACCGUUUCGCUCGAAAUAUUGCGUAGAUCAUGAUUAAAAACUUAGAUUUUUGAAAAGGUGUUUGUAUCUCAAAAAAAGUUCGAAACUUUAAAACCCAAAAAAACUUUAAAUUUCACAUUUGUACGAUUUAAGAAAAAUCAAGGGUUGGAAAAGCUUCAGAUGAUGUUCAGGAGUAAAAAGCGUUUAGAAUCUUACUGGUUUCGAGCUCUGUUUUGGUGGGUUAACACCUACUCUUUUCUUUGCUAUUUUGAACUUUGAGUAAGCUUCUCUCAACGGUUUUCCUUCGUUUUUUCUGGUGUGUUUCGCUACUGGUAUGUGUUAGAAGGGAUUAGUGAAAGAAAAUUGAAGUUUUAUGUGUGUAUUUGUGGAUUUCGAAUUUUGAGUGAAAAUGGUGAAAAGGAUGAGUUUUGGUUUUUUCUCUCACUCUUCUUCCUCUAACUAUCGCCCCCCAAUUUGUCCUCCCCUUGUUCUGAUUCGUUUGGAUCAAUUUAUAGGAUCAAUUGAUCAAUGCCUAUGACCAUUGGAUAAUUUUGAGUGUUGAUUAAAGUGUGCUUUGGCUGAAAAUUUGGUUUUGCAAAGAUAAAAGAAGAAAUGAAGUGAUUGGUCUUUCACACUUGAGUGUAAAACUUGAGAAACUUUUGCUUAAUUUGAGAUUGAGUUAAGAGUUGAAAAGGGUGAAGAAAUCUGAAAACAGGGGAAGGAGGCGUGCCCUGCUUCUACUGUUGCUACUACAGAGAAAAAGGAAGGGAAAGUGGCGUGCAGCAGUGCAAGCGGCACUGUUGCUGCUGUUGUUUCUUUUUUUCUUUUUUUAUUUAUUUUUUAUUAUAAUAAUAAUAAUAAAAUAAGUGAAAAAUAAUAAAUAAUAGGAUAAAAAAUAAUUUAAAAAAAGGUAGGAUAAAAUUAGGGUAUGACAGUUCUCUUUUAUGGGUCUUGUGUCCCCUUUUUUAACAAAACAAAAAAAGUGUAUUCCUAACGGUAACCUUUACUCAAUUUAGUGGAAAUGAAGUUCAUGGAAAUUCCAUUAGUGGAUUUGGAAUUGGAGCUUCCAUUAUUAUACAUGUUGAAAUUGACCAAGACUAAUAGAAUCAUACCGUAUAGAUAAUUGUUAAUAUUGUUUUGGCUAAUUAUUGAUAGCAUAUACUUCACUUCCCACAAACGAUAUCUAAAGUCCAUGGAAAUUGAUAAAGUUAGUGGAUUUGGAAUUAUGAGUAACUUAAGAAAUCCACUUGGGUACGUUACUAUGUUAGUAGUGGAUUUGGAAUUAUAGCUUCCAUUAUCAUAUACAUGUGCAUCUAUUAAGGAUGACGGGAAAUCUUAAACCCGAUAGAUCCACCUGAACUUAAACUCAAGUCAACGGACGAAACUCGAAUUGACUGGGUUUAGGUUUGGGUUCGGGUGGCACCCGGAUAUAUGGAUGUAGGUUUGGGUAGUAUCAAACCCGCACUCAUGGGCACCCAUUGUCAUCCCUACAUCUAUUGUUUGGUAGUUCCAAAAUAUAUUUGAAAGGUUGAAAUGGUUAAUUUGAAAUUCAAAUUUACAUUUUUGAAAGUCUUUUAAAGGUUGUGUCCCUUCAUCAUUUGACAUAAGUUUCUCUAUAAAUAGAGACACUUAGGAGACAGAAAAUACACAACAGAAAUUAUGUGUUUCCAUGAGUCACGAUUCUGUCUAAAUUAUUUCUAAAUCAUUUCUUCAUUUCUCUAGGGCACAAGGGUCAUUGAAGAAACUUUAUUCCGUAAAAUAUCGUUGAUCGAUAUGCUUGAUGUGUACGUGCAAUCCAUGUCAAGGUUUCCAAAGUAUCCUGAAAGGGAUUCGCCGAUGAACCCAUUUGCAUCCGGUUUACAUAAACUGGUGGGGACGAAUCGAACCUAAAGCUUAAUGUGUCCACGCACGCUUUGGAAUUUAUGUGCACCAUCAUCAUGUCUAUUUUCAUCAUCUUCUUGUUCGAGUAUUUGCAGCAAUCCACCAACACAAAACGUUCACACAAAAUAUAUAUUUCUAUGUUUACAAUUUUAAAUAUUAUUUAGACAUAUUCACAUUAAAAUAUACAUAUAUUAUUUAACUUAAGAUUACUUUGAUGAGAUGGUAAGAAAUAUCUUCCAGUUGUUGCAAAAACAAUAAUAAUAAAUAAUUUCUUCCAGCCAAAUCAAAUGUUUUGCGUUUGAGUUCAAUUCUCAGAAUGCAGCAGUGUUACAUUUUUUGAAUCAGUCCUGUGCUGAGGCAUAUUGUGUUUUUUGGAGGAUUCUAGUCCAAUUUGAUUAGUGGCGUGGCCGUCGAGUUGGUUGUUUCCUGAGUUUGUCGCUCUUGUGCUUACUUCUCCGUGCCUGCUCUGGUAGUGCCUAGGGUGUUGUUCGGUCUGUUUUCUUGUACUUCUUUUUUAUGUAUAUAAGCCUUUUCUUUUGAAAAAUUUACAAUCACCUUCCUUAAGGUUACCCUUAAAUGACAGAGACAUCCGCUCUAGUUUUUAAAAAAUACUCACCUCCAUUUAAUUUAACCCCGUUAAAAUACCGUUAAAGAAAAAUUGUCACGUCUCACAAAUUGCUUCUCAACUCUUUGUAAGCGAGAGCCCUGAAUUCUAAAACAGUUAUGGCGCGCAGAACUCUUUGUACUCUUAACGCAAAUUUGAACGCCAUAUUCCAUCCGGCUUGCUUGCUCUAUAUAUAGUUGUGCCAUUUAUGAGGGGUUAUGUUACUUGAUGUUUCUCGAUUGGAAAAAUUUAACUAAAAGGACUAACUUGAAACUUCUUAAACUUAAGGGACCAAAUUAAAACCUAAAAUAAACAUAACGACCAAAUAUACAAUUAAGCCUAAAACCUAUUAAACUAUAUAAGGACAAAAAAAAUUAAAUUUCCAUUCACCGCUAGAUCUUGCCACCAGUAUAUAUAUGCAUAUGAAUGCUUCCUCUCUAUAUUCCCACAAAACUAUCAAACACAAACAAAACUAAAUAUCAUAAACCACUCUCCUCUAAACAAAAUGAAGUCUUUUUCUUUCUUGUCACCUACACUUUUAUACCUUCAUCUGCUUUUUCAGUUUACCUUUAAUUUAAUGUGCUUUGGCCCAAACAAAAUUGUAGCAAUGGCUACAAUAUUAGGAAACCAAACAGAUCAUUUUGCAUUGCUCAAAUUUAAAGAACCAAUAUCCGAUGAUCCAAAUGGAAUCUUAGAUUCUUGGAACUCUUCCAUCCACUUUUGUAAGUGGGGUGGAAUCACAUGCAACCCCAUGCAUCAACGAGUUAUAGGAUUGAACCUAGNNNNNNNNNNNNNNNNNNNNNNNNNNNNNNNNNNNNNNNNNNNNNNNNNNNNNNNNNNNNNNNNNNNNNNNNNNNNCAAUUGCAACAACUUUAUCUCACCAAUAACUCUUUUGUAGGUGAAAUUCCUACAAACUUGACAUAUUGCUCCAAUCUUAAAGACUUAUUCCUGUCAGGGAACAAUCUCAUUGGUAAAAUACCAAUUGCAAUUGCCUCGUUGAAAAUGCUUCAAAGAAUGACUCUUUCUAGUAACAAAUUAACUGGAGGAAUCCCUUCAUUCAUAGGGAAUCUUUCAUGCUUAACGCAGUUUUCGUUUGCCGAUAACAACUUAGAAGGAGAUAUUCCACAGGCAAUUUGUCUCCUAAAAAAGUUGACAGUUUUACGAGUGGGUGUGAACAAUUUGUCAGGUACCCCUCCUUCUUGUCUUUACAACAUCACCUCACUUACUAUAUUUUUCAUGGCAAUAAAUAACUUUCAUGGCCCUCUUCCACCCAACAUGUUUCACACUCUCCCAAAUAUCCAAAUGUUUGGUAUUGCAAAAAAUCAAUUUUCAGGUCCAAUCCCCACUUCUAUAAACGCAUCUUCUUCCAUUAAUUUUCUUGAUAUCCCUGACAAUAAUUUUGUUGGACAAGUUCCAAGUCUAGGAAAGCUAAAAGAUUUAUACCAUCUAAAUUUGGAACGAAACAAUUUAGGUAACAAUUCCGCUAAGGAUUUAGAGUUUUUAAAACCUUUGACAAACUGUAGUAAAUUGUAUUUGCUUUCUUUUGACACAAAUAACUUUGGAGGCGUUCUGCCAAAUUCUAUAGGCAAUUUAAGCAAUGAGCUUAAAAUGCUAUAUCUUGGGUGUAACAUGAUAUCAUGAAAAAUUCCUGCUGAAUUAGGACAUCUAGUUGGCUUAAUAUCCUUGUACUUGGAAUCUAACCACCUUGAAGGAGUUAUUCCAACUACUUUUGGAAAGUUUCAAAAAUUGCAACUGUUAAGUUUAAGAAAUAACCAGUUGUCAGGAGAUAUACCACACUUUGUAGGUAAUCUCAGUCAAUUGUUUAUUUUGGAUUUAUAUGAUAAUACAUUUGAGGGAAAUAUUCCUCCAAGCAUAGGAAACUGCCAAAAGUUACAAUAUCUAAAACUUUCACAAAAUAAGUUUAGAGGAACCAUACCUUUAGAGGUUUUUAAUCUUUUUUCUUUAACAAACCUCUUGGACUUGUCACAUAACUCUUUGAGUGGUAGCUUACCAAAAGAAGUGGGUAUGCUAAAAAAUAUAGAUUGGCUAGAUGUUUCUGAAAAUCAUUUGUCUGGGAAUAUUCCUGAAACUAUUGGUGAAUGUGUAAGCUUAGAGUACCUCAAUUUACAAGGGAAUUCCUUCAACGGAACAAUACCAUCCUCUUUGGCUUCUCACAAAGGUCUGCGAUAUUUGGACCUAUCAAGAAAUCAAUUCUACGGACCAAUUCCUGAUGCUAUGCAAAACAUCUCUAGCUUAGAAUACUUGGAUGUUUCUUACAACAUGUUGGAAGGUGAGGUGCCGAUAUAUGGUGUAUUUGGAAAUGCAACACAAGUAGAAAUUAUUGGAAACAAUAAGCUUUGCGGAGGUAUUGCACAACUGCAUCUACCACCAUGCCAUAUCAACGGCAUAAAACACCCAAAACACCAUGAAUUCAGGUUCAUAAUAGUGAUAGUUAGUGUGGUUUCUUUCCUUCUCAUUCUUUCAUUUAUUAUAACCAUCUAUUGGAUGAGGAAAAGAAAUCAAAAACGAUCUUUUGAUUCACCAACAAUCGAUCAACUAACUAAGGUUUCAUAUCAAGCCUUACAUCGAGGAACCGAUGGGUUCUCGACUAGAAACUUGAUAGGCUCAGGAAGUUUUGGUUCUGUGUACCGAGGAAAUCUUGUGUCAGAAGNNNNNNNNNNUAUUAGACACCGAAAUUUAGUUAAGAUCUUAACAUGUUGUUCGAGUACAGAUUACACAGGCCAAGAAUUUAAAGCUUUAGUUUUUGAUUACAUGAAAAAUGGAAGCUUAGAACAAUGGUUGCAUCCCGAGAUUUUAAAUGCAGAGCCUCCAACAACAUUAGACCUCAGUCAUAGACUAAACAUCAUUAUUGAUGUUGCUUCUGCGUUACAUUAUCUUCAUCAUGAAUGUGAGCAAUUGGUCAUUCAUUGUGAUCUAAAGCCAAGCAAUGUCCUUCUUGAUAAUGACAUGGUUGCACAUGUGAGUGAUUUUGGCAUAUCAAGACUCAUCUUAACCAUUGGCAGUACCUCCCAUUAAGAUACCAGUACAAUUGGAAUAAAGGGAACUGUUGGCUAUGCUCCUCCGGG
rnacentral:lncRNA from 1 species